CCUGGUUGAUCCUGCCAGUAGUCAUAUGCUUGUCUCAAAGAUUAAGCCAUGCAUGUCUAAGUACAGGCUUUGGUACAGCGAAACCGCGAAUGGCUCAUUAAAUCAGCUAUAAUUUAUUAGAUUGUUCUUUACUUGGAUAACUGUGGGAAUUCUAGAGCUAAUACAUGCACAAAAGCUCCGACCUUCGGGAAGGAGUGCAGUUAUUAGACCAAAACCAGCCGAGCUUCGGCUCGAACUGUUUGGUGACUCUGGAUAACGAUGAGCGGAUCGCAUGGCCUUGAGCCGGCGACGUAUCUUUCAAGUGUCUGACCUAUCAACUGACGAUGGUACGCGAUAUGCCUACCAUGGAGAUAACGGGUAACGGAGAAUAAGGGUUCGACUCCGGAGAGGGAGCCUGAGAAAUGGCUACCACAUCCAAGGAUGGCAGCAGGCGCGCAAAUUACCCACUCUCAGUACGAGGAGGUAGUGACGAAAAAUAACAAUGCGGGACUCAUCAGAGGCCUCGCAAUUGGAAUGAGCGCACUUUAAAUCGUUCGACGAGGAUCUAUUGGAGGGCAAGUCUGGUGCCAGCAGCCGCGGUAAUUCCAGCUCCAAUAGCGUAUAUUAAAGUUGUUGCAGUUAAAAAGCUCGUAGUUGGAUCUGGGGUUCGGGUCGGCGGUUUGCCGCUUCGGCGGCUACUGCCGUGCUCGACUCUUACUAGCCGGUGCGUCUUGCGGUGCUCUUCAUCGAGUGCCGUAGGAGCCUGGCAUGUUUACUUUGAAAAAAUUAGAGUGCUCAAAGCAGGCGAUUCCGCCUGAAUAGUGUUGCAUGGAAUAAUGGAAUAGGACCUCGGUUCUAUUUUGUUGGUUUUCGGAACUUGAGGUAAUGAUUAAGAGGGACGGUCGGGGGCAUUCGUAUUUCGGUGUUAUAGGUGAAAUUCUUGGAUCGCUGAAAGACGGACAAAUGCGAAAGCAUCUGCCAAGAACGUCUCCGUUAAUCAAGAACGAAAGUCAGAGGUUCGAAGACGAUCAGACACCGUCCUAGUUCUGACCAUAAACGAUGCCAACUAGCGAUCCGCAGUGGUUGCUAUAAACGGACUCUGCGAGCAGCUUCCGGGAAACCAAAGUGUUUGGGUUCCGGGGGAAGUAUGGUUGCAAAGCUGAAACUUAAAGGAAUUGACGGAAGGGCACCACCAGGAGUGGAGCCUGCGGCUUAAUUUGACUCAACACGGGGAAACUCACCCGGUCCGGACACUGUAAGGAUUGACAGAUCGAGAGCUCUUUCUUGAUUCGGUGGAUGGUGGUGCAUGGCCGUUCUUAGUUGGUGGAGUGAUUUGUCUGGUUAAUUCCGAUAACGAACGAGACUCUAGCCUGCUAACUAGUUGCGCCGUGUUCAUACGCGGCUGUAGACUUCUUAGAGGGACAGGUGGCGUUUAGCCACACGAAAU
rnacentral:rRNA from 1 species